CCUACGGGUGACAGCAGUGAGGAAUAUUGGUCAAUGGACGCAAGUCUGAACCAGCCAUGCCGCGUGCAGGAAGACGGCUCUAUGAGUUGUAAACUGCUUUUGUACGAGGGUAAACGCAGAUACGCGUCUCUGUCUGAAAGUAUCGUACGAAUAAGGAUCGGCUAACUCCGUGCCAGCAGCCGCGGUAAUACGGAGGAUUCAAGCGUUAUCCGGAUUUAUUGGGUUUAAAGGGUGCGUAGGCGGUCGGAUAAGUUAGAGGUGAAAUCCCGAGGCUCAACUUCGGAAUUGCCUCUGAUACUGUUCGGCGAGAGAGUAGUUGCGGUAGGCGGAAGGUAUGGUGUAGCGGUGAAAUGCUUAGAGAUCAUACAGAACACCGAUUGCGAAGGCAGCUUACCAAGCUACUUCUGACGGUGAGGCACGAAAGCGUGGGGAGCAAACAGGAUUAGAUACCCCAGUAGUC
rnacentral:rRNA from 1 species